AUGCUUUGGCUGCCAUCUUGGAAAGGAGGGCGACAAGGUAGAGCAAUCUGAAACACAGAGCAGUUGUCCAAAGAAUCGAGUUAAGGCCCCCAAAACAGAUAAAAUUAUCUUGUCUUGCUGUGAUUCAGAUUAAACUAAGACUUCUUUUCCUGUUUACUCAAGAUGUAGACACUUGAUGAGAAACUGGUCUGGAGAAAUCUAGGAGCUAUAUUGUCUUUGGACAUCCAUAUUAGAGGAUGAGUAAAUUUGUAAUCCCAUUAAGUAUUUUUUGAGCUUUCCAACAGUUUUAAUUAUUAUUGGGAAAUAAAUCAGAGAAGUCUCUAAAGCAACAAAGAAUUAUUGAGGUUUCGUUUGUUUGGGGAUUUUAAGGUCUAGUACUGUGGUAUUUUUUGAUAAAGCAUCAGCUGUAAUAGCUUUGUAGUACAGUUAUCAAAUUAAAUAAAAAGGGAUGUAAGUAGUCAUAAAAAUUGCUCAUUAAAGCUGAUCGCCUUUUUUUAAAUGCCACCAAAGCUUUGGAGGGUGGAGAAUAACCCAGUUGAAAAUCUACAAGCAAUGCUGUCCACAUCCCAAAUAGACUGGUCAAAAAGCCUUCAUCCCGUCAGUCACUGACAUCAACUUCAUCCAAAUCAGACUCCUAAAAACCCGGCCUAACUUAUGUGUCAUGCAAAGGAUGGCUCUUGGAAAAAUGCAAAGAAGCAGGGGCCGCUAAGGGAGAGAUGUGAAGGUCAAGGAAGCUCUGAGCUCCUGACAGCCGCCCUUCCAGCCUUCUCCUGCCUUCCAUAGAGAGAUGCUAUGGACUCUUGGUCCAGAGACUCAAAUUCAAGGAAAAGAAGAGGCAACAUUUGCAGUGUUGAUCCUUGAGUUGAACAAAGAGUGGUCAGGAGAAGAAACCAACAAGAAAUGUAACCUACCUCCAGAACUCAGGAACUCAGGUACCCUUAAGGAUAUCAGAAACAAUGAAAUAUGGAUUGGCAGAAGCAUCUUCACCACCAUCUUCAGAUGUAAUUAAUGCAGCUGUUGAAUUUGGUUGACUAUCCACCUAUAAUUACCACAUUGCCCAUUACAGAUUUUUGCUGCCUUUUCUUGCCUCCUUUUCAUUUUUACAUCCACUUAUUCCCUACAGAAAUGACAGAUAAUCAGCAUUUUUGUUUUCUUGUUAUGUUGUCCUGAUAGUACAGCUACAAAUGGAUUUGAUGUGCUGAAUAAUGGUCUACUAGGCCUAAAAAUGAAAGUCUAGACCCUUAGUCAAAAAUAACUUGGAUCUAUGUGGUACCAAGAAAAGAGGAAUUAUAAGAAAAAGAAUAUUAGUUUAAUGUUCUGUAAAUUUUUUUCUUAACCUAUUCUGUCCAGUAUUUACUACUUGGCUGCAUUCCUAAAACAUAAAUUUCACAGGGGCAGGAGUCUUUGUCCAUUUUGCUCAUUAAUGUGUUAGGAAUACUAAAAAGAGUGUCUAGCGGGGUAGUCACAUAAUAAAUACCUGUUGCAUGAACAAA
ensembl:lncRNA LINC02654 long intergenic non-protein coding RNA 2654